CCCCCCAGGGCACAUCCGAGUUGGUGGAACAAUCACUUCGCUGGGACGCUGGAAGCAAGGGUGGAGAGUUCGAUUCCUGGAGUUAACACUGGGUGCUAAAAUGGAGGGGAAGCCAUUUGGUUGAACAAACGCCAGCGAGGAGAGCUCUCUUUGCGGAAGGAGUCCAAAUGAGUUGUGGGAACCUGGGAGCCAACAAGGGCACAUCCUGCGAUUUACCUCCCUGAGCUGCUGAGGGGCCGGAGGUUCAGG
rnacentral:lncRNA from 1 species